rnacentral:rRNA from 1 species
GACGAACGCUGGCGGCGUGCUUAACACAUGCAAGUCGAACGGUGAAGGGAUGAGCUUGCUGGACUUGGAUGAGUGGCGAACGGGUGAGUAACACGUGAGUAACCUGCCCCCUCCUUCUGGAUAACCGCAUGAAAGUGUGGCUAAUACGGGAUACUAUGGUUAGGUCGAAGGUUGGAUAUGGGAAAGAGUUUGUUUUGGUGGGGGAUGGGAUCGCGGCCUAUCAGGUUGUGGGUGGUGUGAUGGCCGAGGAAGGCGGCGACGGGUAGCCGGCCGGGGGGGGGGGACGGGCGCAGUUGGACUGCGACACGGCCCCGGAUCCUACGGCAGGCAGCAGUGGGGAAUAUUGCGCGAGGGGCGCAAGCCUGAUGCAGCGACGCCGCGGGAGGGAUGGAGGGCUUCGGGUUGUAAACCUCUUGUGGCAGAGAAGCUGGCCUGGGGAUUAUGGGUGGGUUGACGGUAGCUGGAUAAGAAGCGCCGGCUAACUACGUG